UGAUGAUAGUGAGGGCACUUUCUGAGCAUACCCUUAAAUCUCUCCCAUGAUUGGUAGAUAUUCUCUUCUUCUUUCUGUUUGAAAUGUAGAAUCUCACUUUCCAAACG